CAUUCCCUGGAAGAAAAGGGAAAAAAAACAUGAUUUAAAAAGAAACCUUCAGCUCUCUGUUAAAACAACUUCUGCCUGUUGUGGUAUAAAUGCCAAAGCACGUUUCUUGUAACACUUAAAGAAAAACUCUCAUACUUUUUCCCUGCUAUUAAUUUUUCAUAUUACACAUAGUUUGUAAAUAGGAGGCAUCCCUUGUGUUUUAAAGUCCAGACCUCAGUAAAAAAGUACAUUUUAAUACAGAGGUGCACACAAAACAUCUCUUCCAGUGGUACCAUGCUGCAAGUUGUACCCAGACCUUUGGUUCCUGGCACUGCACCAGUAUUGUUGAAUGUUUUAUUGUCACAUUGACUUUGUUCCUGGAAAAUUUUUAUCUGAACAGAGCAAUGAAGUAUUUAUGCCUUUCACUGUGCCUGUGAGAAGCCAGGACAGGGAUAGAUAAAGUGCUCAUUUCACAGCAUGCAGAUAAGGCUGGGGGUCUGGGAACUAAAUCCAGUCCUUCACACUCAGACCUUGCCUACAACUGAGCUCUGAUCAAAUGUGAUUCCUGGGAAAUGUACUGCACUCUGGUUUGUGAACAAAACACUUCAAAACUUGGCUGUGAAAGGAGAAAAUUCACACACACUGUCAGCCUGUAUUGCCUGUUUCAACUUGAAUACUCCAGGGCAGGAAGACUUCCUGGACUGUCAAGCUCACUGAGUGCCUGGGGCCUCUGACCAGUUAAAGAGAGCUUUAAUUAACACAAGAACAUCUCAUUCCUUCAGCCAAACUGUCAAACCUGAAGUUCCCGUGGCUCUUUGGUACUCAGAACUGCCUGAUCCACCCAGGAUUGUAAGAGCAAAGCGCUUCUCACUUUGUAAAACAUCUCUGCUUCCUGUCCCAGCUGAACUUCAAACCUACAUCAGCUUAAUCCAGAAAAAGGAGAGACCAGCACUCAGGACAAGCCUUACCCCAAGAGCUGCUCCAGAAGAAGCAGGUUCAGCCCAGCUCCGUGGGCUGCUGUUCCAGGCUUUCCCUGCACUGUUUGCAGCUCUUCCCACCAGAGUUCAUAUCAGGAUCAUAAAGGAUCUUGUGCAAACAAAUCAA